rnacentral:rRNA from 1 species
AUACGGAGGGUGCAAGCGUUAUCCGGAAUCACUGGGUUUAAAGGGUGCGUAGGCGGCGCUAUAAGUCAGAUGUGAAAUCCCACCGCUUAACGGUGGAACUGCAUUUGAUACUGUAGUGCUUGAAUCAGGCUGAGGUCAGCGGAAUGUGUCAUGUAGCGGUGAAAUGCAUAGAUAUGACAUAGAACACCAAUUGCGAAGGCAGCUGACUAGACCUGUAUUGACGCUGAGGCACGAAAGCGUGGGGAGCGAACAGGAUUAGAUACCCUAGUAGUCC